GUUAUUUGUGCAUUUACUGAUGGGUAUUCUAGAGCUUUACAUGCAUCCAAGCCCGACUUUGCAGAAAGGUUGUGUUUAUUAAAACAAAAAAACCCAGGCUCCGCCUGGUCAUGUGGUGAUUCAUGAUAACUCGACGAAUCGCGCGGCUCCGCCGGCGAUGCGUCAUUCAAGUUUCUGACCUAUCAGCUUCCGACGGUAGGGUAUUGGCCUACCGUGGCAUUGACGGGUAACGGAUAAUUAGGGUUUGAUUCCGGAGAGGGAGCCUGAAAAACGGCUACCACAUCUAAAAAGACCCAGCGCGCAAAUCCAUAAUCCUGAUACGGGGAGUAGGACAAGA
rnacentral:rRNA from 1 species